GUCACCUUGUUCUCUCCUCUAGCAAGUGACGCCCAAUUCAUUAAAAGAAGUUAGUUGAUGUCCCAGAGCAAGAAGUGAAGAAGGCUUGCUGGGCUUGACUUCUGGAUAUUAGAGGUAGAGGAAGACUAGAAGAAUGCCAUUCUCCACUUCAGAUAUGAAGAGCUCCUCAGAACAAUGGCUUCCUGAAGGCACAUGGGUUUGUAGAGCCAAACCCAAGUCAGAAGAGGAUUUCAAAAGGCAUGGACCACUUUGUAGAAUCAUCUCUACCUGGGAUCUGUAGCACUAAGGACUCUCUAGUCAAUCUAGAGAGGUCUAUAUCAAAGACCCAGCUAUCAUCUUGCUCUAUGCUAAACAGUGAAGCCAUUUGGCCUCAAGAUUAAAUGGAGUGCUAGUUACAAUGACAACUAUAAAACAUUCACAUGUUUCAUUUUGUCUUGUUGUUUCCCAAGCAGGGCUUUUCCUAUUCCUAGUGUUCCACAUUUUCUAUAUAAUGAGGGGUGACUUCCAGAAUUGGCAAGAAUCUUCAGGACAUAGUAACAGUUCUCAUACAGAAGACUGCUUGUAGCAUUUCUAUAGAGCACCUUCAGCUGCAAGACUGGGAUCAUCUUCCCUAGUGGAUAAGAACCAUGAUUUGCCAUUUUACUUCAUCUCUCAAAUUAACACAGCCCGGAGUUAUAUGAGGGAGUUUCAGUUGGGAACAUUGAAAGUGCAAAAACAAACUGUUAAGAACACAAGGACAGUUGACCGGAGUAGCAGAUUGAUUGCAUCUGUCCAGGCCAGAGUUAGGAGGCCACUAGUGAGCAAGAGGGGAUGGCCAGAAGCCACAAUUAUCUGGCAGUACAGACUAACUCAGAAAUAGAAAGAAACAAAGGAUAUAUAAAGGUGAGAAUCUGAGUGGCUGGGUCUGGGGCAGGAAGAAAGGG